UACGAGGGGGGCGAGCGUUGUUCGGAGUUACUGGGCGUAAAGGGUGUGUAGGCGGUUUUUUAAGUUUGGUGUGAAAUCUCCCGGCUCAACUGGGAGGGUGCGCCGAAUACUGAAAGACUAGAGUGCGGGAGAGGAAAGUGGAAUUCCUGGUGUAGCGGUGAAAUGCGUAGAUAUCAGGAGGAACACCGGUGGUGUAGACGGCUUUCUGGACCGUAACUGACGCUGAGACACGAAAGCGUGGGUAGCAAACAGG
rnacentral:rRNA from 1 species